rnacentral:sRNA from 12 species
GAAAGGCUCCUGGAUAUCGGUUGGUCAUCUGAGAAAGAUGGCAGCACCUGUAGAGGUGUGGGAUCCUACCGCCGGGAGCUAUUUUUAU